GCAAACACUUGUCCUUAUGAUGUAUCUUAAAUGUUUACAGCUGUUAGUUGAAGAAGGUUCACCCACCUUUUUAUUGAAAUCCACUAACUUUUGAUAAGAAGCAUUCCUUCAUAAUUAAUUAUCCUACCUACUACAUCCAUCAAGAGAAACAAAAAGGCAUAGAAAGAUGUUUGGUUUUUUCAGAAACAAAAAGGCUAAAAUAUUCCUUUAAAUGAAGUCUCCGCCUCUUUGGUUUUUUCAGCUACUGACUAUUUUCUUCGAGUAGAAGCUUUGUUGGCUCAGAAGAUGUUUAAAGAGUUCGAAUUUGGGCAAAAGAUGCAUCGGAGCUUCUAUUUUAAAAUGGGUUGAAAAAGUAGAUGCAUGGAGCUUCUAUUUUAAUAUGGGUUAGCUUUUCAGAAGUUUGUGAAGUUGCAGCUUUCUUUGAAGUUAUAUGAAGUUGCAGAAAAAUAGAAACCUUUUUAAAGAAAGAAAACUGCAAUUAUAUUUCAUCUCCAUAAUGAGAAUACUGACGGUAGUGUGGCUAUUGAAAGUUCAAAGGCUGCUGAUGAAGCUGCUGAAAUUGUUCGUAGUGAAAUUAUUCUGGCAUCAAAGGUUCACUGCAUAGUAUUCACUGAAUGAAUUGCACAGACUUGAUAUUGGCACUACCAUGGAAGAGUUGUAAGAAUGUUUCCAUAAAGGUUCUCUCAUGAGCAGGGGUGCGCUCAAUAACAUUUCAUCCAGAUGGAAGAAUUGGACAUGAAGAUGCCUUAAAGGGACUUUUCAUAUUUUUCUGAUUAGAGGACUUGCGAGAGAUAAUAAAAUCUAAGAAGAUAGUGUUCUGGAGGCUGAAGUUGAGAUGUUCAAGAAGAUUUAAGAUCAAAUUUCUAGAUUUGAUUAUAAGCUGGUUUUUUAAUUACUGAAGACUGAAGUAUCUUGUUGGGAGCAACCUUUGUGAUGGAUGACACAGAUUGAGGUUAGUUUAACCUAUUUAGUUUUUUAUUUUGUUGUGUUAUAUCUCUUUUGUGAUGAUAAUUGAGUUUAGGGUGUUAUCCUUAUUAUCGAGUAAAUAUUAAUUAUAAUUCAUUUAUCCUUUUUAGAUAUAAGACAUAUAAUCUAACAUGUGCAACCUAGGCAUAGUUUCAUCCUCUUUAGUUUUCUAAACAUGAAAGUUUUGAGGAAUAAUUGGAUUUAAGGAAAAUGCUGCUAAUGGUCAUACUAACAAUAUGUCGGACAAAAUGGUAUUAAGUACCUGAUUUGUGCAUGGAGAUGAUUCAAACUGAUUAGUGUCUUGAAGAAACAUUCUCUACCGCCAGACAAAGUGCUGAAGAUCCAUGAUUCAGUUUGGUUACAUUAUUUCAAAAAUAACUCACUCAUUUUUAUAUCAAAGAUCAUUGUUGAUGCAUUCAGCAGACAUUCCUGAAGACUUCUUUGAAUACUACAUUAUCCGUCUCAUUUUUUUUCUUCUCAUCAUGACUUAGUAGUAUCUUAAGUCCUUCUUUGUUUGUGACUCUAGAAACUGCAACAUAUAGCUGACCAUGCGUAAAAACAGGCUUUUUGAGUAAGAGUCCAACCUUUGACAAUGAUUGACCUUGACUUUUGUUUAUAGUCAUUGCAUAAGAUACCAUUAUAGGAAAUUGUCUCCGUUGAAAUUUGAAUGGUAUUCGAUGAUCGGAUGGACUUAAAGUCAUUCUUGGGAUGAACACUCUUUGUUCUUUGUUUUUUCCUGUGCUGCUUUGUGCUUCUAUGAUGUGUUUUCCAAGCUUGGUAACAACUAAACGUGUACCAUUGCACAAUCCUGCCGAGUGAUCAAUGUUCCUAAGUAGCAUUAUAGGGGUUCCAACCUUUAAUGUCAACUGAUGGUUUGGAACACCUGAGCAAUUGAUUGUGUUCAGGAACUCAGGAGUGUGUAUGGAUGCCAGUAAAUCAUUAUUAGACUCUAUUGGGCAUGCUUUAUCAGAACUAUAAUAAGUAUGUGCUUCAGUGGGAUUUAAGCUCAUCAUGUAAUUGUUUAUUUCUUCCACAAUUUGCAAUGUUGGUGCAAGUAUUGCUCGGUCUUUUAUAUGUUGAUCAAGAUUUUCCCCUGAAAAUAGUUCUGGAUAAGUUACCUUACAGAUUGCCUCUAUUGGGUCAUCCCAGUUCUUUACCAGAAUGUCAUCUGGGAUUUCAAUUCUUUCACCUGAAUCUCUAGGUGUACCAUAACUUCCGUCACCAAUACUUAGAAUCCAAUCAGCAAAUUGCUUCAAGUCAUGCGACCUUUCAGUGGAAUCACCUACUCUCAAUCUCAUGUUUUUUGUGAGGGUCAACAACUGACAGCUAUUCCAAAUAUACGAUGAGUUUAUUGUGGCAUUAACGAUUUCCUGCCUAGUUCCUUUUGGGAUCACUGGUAGUAUUUGUCGAAAAUCACCUCCAAAUACGACUGUCUUUCCUCCAAAUGGCUCCAUUUCACUGUUCACAUUCUUAAAUCUUAGAAUGUCUCGCAUCGUCCUGUCAAGAGCUUCAAUGCAGUACCUAUUUACCAUAGGAGCCUCAUCCCAAAUUAUUAGUUUUGUUUUUAUCAACAAUUCGGCCAAGGCGCUCCCCUGUCUUAUAUUGCAUGUGGAGAAUUCAUCCAAAUUGAGUGGAAUUGCAAAACGUGAAUGUGCUGUCCUGCCACCGGGUAAUAGAAGUGAUGCUAUCCCACUUGAUGCAACCGUGAGUACAAUUUGUGAUCGAGAUCUCAAUGCAGAAGCUAAUGUUUGCCAAACAAAAGUUUUUCCAGUCCCACCAUAACCAUACAGGAAGAAUACUCCACCUUUCCCACUCUGAACUGCCUCCAUUAUUUUUUCGUACACCAUCAUUUGCUCAUCUGUCAGUUUUUGCAGAUAAGUAAUACGAUUCGCGGCUAGUUGCCUUCUGUCAUACCGCAGUUCAUCACAAAUUAACCUGUUAACACCAUCUGCUAUUAGUUGAUGGUUCGAACAUUGACUCAUAUCUGGUACUGGCAUUGGUGGGUAGUCUCUAAGGCUCUUGUUGUAACUGUUUAGCAUAUUUUCAAUUUGUAUGAGUGUUAGCUCCUUCAACUCAUCAUCUGUAAGAACUAAAUCUGCGUGCAUAACAGGUCUCAUCCAAAUCAGUGUAAUGUAAUAACUCACCUAUGUGUGGAAAAAUUUCUCUCUGACUUGUAUAAGGAUUGUAAUAGCCAAGCUGACCAUAUUAAGUAUCUGAUUUGACUUACAAUUGAUAACACAAUUUUCCAGGACAGGACAAUUUAUUACAAAUUAAAAAUGUUAGUCUAAUUAGCAUAAGAGCCUUCUUUUUUAAGUUAGUGAUAUAUUUGUCACAAAUUCCUAUCCCUUACCAUCAAUUGGUUAUCCUUUUACUUUAUUUUCCUAUAAAUUUAUUGCAACUGUAUUUUGAUUAAACAUUACACAAUUAUACAAAUAUACAGAUUCAUGAAAAUUAAUUCAUUAUUAUAUUGUGGUUGGUUGGAAUAGCAAAACUGUUGUGAUAAAAUUUAUUGAUUAAUUACAAAAAUAUCAUUUUUUACCUAUUGAGAUAGCGAAAAUAUCUAAUUAUGAUAAACAUGAAUUGAAGUAACAAUUGAUACCUGGAUUAUCAAGUAGUCUUCUCUGCCUAUGAAGUAUAUCAUCACAUAGUAGAGUCCAUGUUUUUUCCCAUACAUGUUCUGGUCUAUCCAUUGAAUUAGAAAAUAAAAGUGUAGUAAAGAGCUUUCUCAGAUACGCUCCAGAUCCCCAAUGGCUAGCUUCUUCUAUUGCAUCAAUAUAUUCCUUGUCAUCAUCUAGAAGACCACGUGCAUAACAUGCCUCUUUAAAUGAGGAAUAAACAACACCAUCUACGGUUCUGAUAUCUUCAUAGGAAGUUGGUCCCUUCACAAAAUUAAGGAGUAGUCUGAGGUAGUAACUUUCACCCGAACCUGGAGGCACAAAGAAGAUUCUUCCAAUAACAUUGUGUGUUUUUCGAGGCAACCACACCCUAUCUUUUGCUUUCCAUACAAAUUUUGUAGGGAGUUCUGCAUAUGUCAAUGACCUAGCUUCCAUAUAAUCCCUAUUUGCUUGAAACCAUCCAAUGAACAUAGAUUCCUUGACGGAUGCUUGUUUCACCACAUCAUCUAAAUUUUCAUGGUCUUUAAAUAUCACAUUUUGUUCAUCGGGUAAGUGAAAACCUAAUCUCACAACAGAAGGAUCUCUAUAAUGGAUGUUAUACCCAAAAAUUCUCCAGGCUGCUUCACAUGGAGAUAUGUAUCUACAAUCAUAAUACAUGCUCACUUCAUCGUAUUCAUCCAACUCGGUGUUUGAUGUAGCACUUUUAUAGAAUGAGGCUGUGACGCGGUCAUGUCCUUUAUUCACAUAUUUGAAUAAAUACUUUAUUGACCUUGAUUGGUUGCACCACUCAACAUUUAUAUGAGCCCCAUAUCUCAUAAGUAAGAGCCUGUUAUGAGGGACCACAUAACGGUUAUCAAGGUCAAUGCCAGACUUUUUAAUUGUUCUUCCAUCUUCCCUACGUCUAUAUACCGGAUAACCUUCAUCGUCGACGGUUGUGUUAUCAACAAAUUUCUUUGGGAAGUGACGAAUGCAUUUACCAUCUUCCAUACACGGUGAAUCUUUCUUAACCAAACCACACGGGCCGUGCAUCAUGUGCUUUUCCACUGCUUCAAAGUAAUCUGCAUCUGUCUUCUUAUCUGGUAUCUCAGCUGAUAUAAUUCUGUCAAUGUCUUUUGCUGUUGGAUAUUUGUCAUCCUUAUGGAGAAAUAGUAGUAUAUGUGCAUGUGGCAAUCCACGUUUUUGAAUGUGAUAAUGCUUACUGGCUCAGGAAAGUUAGGUCGUUCCCAACCUAUCCAGUAAAUGACGCCAUUGUCCACAACAGAUUUGGGUCCAAGCUUCUGAACAUUGCUUUCAAAUGAACCUUUAUGAGUCCACUCCCUUUCCACUGAACUAUAAAUACUCCAGGACAUGGUGCUGUCAGAGUAGUGUCGCUUGUGUACAUGCACAAUGCGGUAUUCCACACUAUCUUCCAAAUACCCAAAGGCAUAAAGAGAUACAACGUGGCAGCAGUGCUUGCUAGCUUCGUCUGGUGCAAAACGCCUCUUUCGGGUGAGGGGAUUCCACAUAAGUAGCCUAGAAUUGAGACCCCCAUGGAAAUCCUCAAGCAAAUGACUCCAUGGUCGGAGCCUAUGAUUGAGUAGAAGCCAUAAUGGUUGAUUUCUAUCGGAACAUUGAAAUUAAACUGCCGCCCAGUAUCAACUGAGGCUCGAACAAACCACAUUGAGUUUUGAUCACUUGGGGGGGACCCAAUUCCAACAAUGAUGCUUCGGUCUCUGUCUUUGGUUUCCUUAUAGUUUUGCUUGAUAAAUAAGUUGGUGCAUAGUCUAGAAUUCCAAGCUUUACUCAGACUUCUGCACUUUCCUACUGUCUUUGGAUCUGUUUUCACAAAGAUUUUUAAGAUAAUAUCAUCACUCAGGAAUGGAAGAUCGCAUCUCUUUGGUGGGAUAUCACUCAUUGUGGCUGUAAAGGGGUUGAACGUUUGGCUAAUGGGGUUUAGUGACUUAGAGGAAUGGUCACUCAAUUGGAAUACCACACAACAGUUUACUCUAACCUAUUUAUAUAAUUAGCUUAUAUGGUGUGAAUGUGCAGAAUUGUUUAAUCCUUCUAUAAGGACGUGGGUGUGGUUACUUUAAAAAAAUAAUUUUUUAUUGCAAGGCAAAAGAGCUAUAUAAAACAUCUAUUAAUAUGAGUAAUGUAUUUUAAUUUAGGGGAUAUAUGGUAAAAUAUGUUGGAAUCCCACUCAAGCAGAAACAUAAUUAUUAUUGGUUUUUCUAACAUUAUUCCUUAAGAGAAAACUCAGCCCACCAAGUUGUCCUUUUUAAGUAAUGUUUUUUGAAGGUGCUAGAUCCAUAGUUAUGUCAUUAGCAGAUAUCUUUUCUCAAUAUAUGGAGUAUUAGUAGUGCUUAAUACUUAACAACUUGGUUUAGCAUAAUCUUUUAAUUAUAAUCUAUAUGAUUAUAGCAUAGCAGUUCUGUUAAUAUGAUAUCCACCACCAUAGUUGGGAUAUUUCAAGAAGUGUGCUACUAAUGGAAUUGAUAAAGCAAUUAAGUGAACCAUGAACUAAUGAAUCUUCUGUUGUUAUAAUCAAUGUUCUAUAGUUCAACAGACCAAUAAAAUGUGAUUGUAACUAAAAAUAUAGGUGACUUAGUAUCUUCACAAAUAAACCGCUACUGUAAUCCACCUUAAUAAAUUAUUAGUUGAAAUAUGAUAUAAGUAUAGCCUGAUAUCUCUUUAAUUUUUAAGAAAUUCUUUGAUGAAAGCAAUUCUGAAAAUAAUGUUCCAACCUUUUGUGAUAAGAUCUUACUUGAUAUGAUUUGCCUAGGGAUAAACUAAACGUAUUAAACGGUUGUGUAUUUGCAAGGGUUUAGGGUUUUUAUCCAUAAAAAACUUAUAUUGACCAAUGGUCACUCACAAUUGAUUAUUAUUUAGGCAUAACUCCUUUAUGCUAAACUGCUUUAUCCUAUGACUCCUUUUCCAGCACAUGUUUUCACUAAUUAGUAUAAGGUUCUGUAUGCAGCUAUACUUUCAUAUAUUUAGGAAUUCCUGCAAAGAUUUAUAAAAUCAACAGAUCACACCAUUGUGAACCUUCUUAUUCUCGAUGUUAGAAAACAGAACACGACAUGAUUUUGGAAAAAAAAAAUAUUUCUGGGAAAAUGGAGUCUACUAUUAGUUAAAUUUUAUUCAGCAAUAUAGUCAUGCAGAUCAUUUUAUAUCAGACAUGCAUUAGGUCCAGCAAUUAAAAUUCAUUUGGUAUGUAUACAGUCAUGCAAAUCAAUUUAUACCAGACAUGCACCAGGCCCUAUAUGGGUGGAUUUCAAGUAUGAAAUAGAAGCCAGCAAAUAAAAUUCAUUUGACAUUUAUACAGUCAUGCAGAUCAAUUUAUAUCAUACAUGCUGUUGUAAUCCACUCUAAUAAAUUAUUAGUUGAAAUAUCAUAUAAGUAUAGCCUAAGUUUCAUUUUUAUUUUAAGAAAAUUUUUUAUGAAAGUAAUUCUCGAAAUAAGGUUCAAACCUUUUUUGUCCAGCAGUUACUUGAUAUGAUUUGCUUAGGAUAAACCUCCUUAAACGGUUGUAUAUUUGCAUUGAUGCGAGUUUUUAUCCACACAUACCUUGUAUUGACCAAUGGUCACUCACAAUUGAUUAUUAUUUAGGAAUAACUGCUUUAUUCAAAAUUGCUUUAUCCUUUGACUCUAUUCUCAGCACACGUUUUUAUUAAUAAGGUAUGUGUCAUCAUCUCCAAUGACACAUAGCUCUGUGAACCCAUCAUGUGAGCAGUUUAUCUGUUGGUCAUUAGCAUAGAUACCUGCACUUUUGGACACGUACCUAACUGGGAAUUCAAAAGCUAAAUCACAAUUUUUUUUAUAUAGCCCUGACCUAGCAAAUGGUUUCAUUUUAAAGUGCCUUAGCUGAAUAUGGUGUAACAUGGUAUUGUUUAUCUUGUUUAGUAGAUUUUUCUUUGUUGUAUAUUCAAGUUCUGCUGCCUAUAAAGCAUAUGAGUUGCAGCAACCACAACUGGUUUUCUUUAAGGAAAAAUUUUUAACUUGUACUUUUCUAAAAAAAUUGUACUUCCUAAACCUAUGAUGCAGCUCAACUAUUUUUUAACACCAAGACUUAAACCAUAAAGCAUUUUAGAUAUAACCCUAAGUACUAAGAC